rnacentral:lncRNA from 1 species
UUAAUUUGAGUCUAAACAAAAAUUAUAAACCGAUUGAAUAUAGUCCUUAAUUUUCCCGCCAAAAAUGUGAAUACACAAUUUUCCCAUCAAUAUAUAAGUUCGUGAUUUUCCCGCCAAUAACGUAAAUCCGCAGUUUUCCCGCCCAAAACGUAAAUCAUUGAUUUUCCCGCCAAAAAAAUUUAUAAUUUUAACCAAAAACGAAAAUAUGUAAUUUUCCCGCCAAAAACGUAAAUCCGUGAUUUUCCCACCAAAGUUUUUUAUAAUUUUUAACCAAAAAUGAGAAUGUAAAAUUUUCCCGCCAAAAACGUAAAUCCGUAAUUUUCCCGCCAAAAACGUAAAUCCAUGAUUUUCCCGCCAAAAACGUAAAUACGUGAUUUUCCCGCCAAAAUUUUCAAUAAUUUUUAACCAAAAAUGAGAAUGUAAAACUUUCCCGCCAAAAACGUAAAUCCGUAAUUUUCCCGCCAAAAACGUAAAUCUGUGAUUUUCCUGCCAAAAACGUAUAUCAUUGAUUUUUCCGCCAAAAUUUUUUAUAAUUUUUAACCAAAAAUGAGAAUGUAAAAUUUUUCCGCCAAAAAAGUAAAUUCAUAAUUUUCCCGCCAAAAACGUAAAUCCGUGAUUUCCGUGCCAAAAAUUUAUAAUUUUUAACCAAAAACGAGAAUGUGUAAUUUUCUCGUCAAAAACGUAAAUCCGUGAUUUUUCCGCCAAAUAAUAGUGAUGUUGAUGAUGAUGAUUAUUAUUAUUAUUAUAUUUUAAUUAUUAAUUUAUUUAUUACAUUAAUAUUUAAUGGGUCAACCCAUUUAACCUUCUAACCCAUCCAAUUAAAUUAGUUCAUGGGUUGACUCAACUCAUUUGGCUAAAUGAGUUGAGUCAACCCAUGAACUCAUUAACUCUAAACUCAUUGGGUAAUGAGUUGAGUUGAGUUGGGUUAACCAUUUUGACACCCCUAACUAUCACACAUAAGAUGUUUUUUUUUUAGUGAAUUUUUAUUUAUUUAUUAUAUGCAGUUUUUUAAUCUGAUUCACAAUAAUUAUAUAUAUAAGAUAUAGAAACUAAAUUAAAGAGAAAUUGUUAAAAAUGCUCCUUUUUCAAUACUCCUUUUCAAAAAUGCCCCCUUUGAGAGUUCAUUUUUAAGUUUGCCCUCUUUUAAUUUUUAAUGACCAUUUUACCCUUAUUUGAAACAAAAUUAGGUCAACAAAAUACAAAAUAUUUUUUGGCGGGAAAAGUGAUUCCGCAAUUUUCCCGCCAAAACACUUGUAAAAACCUUUAAAAUACUUUGUAAAAUUUUGCCGUAAAAAUUUUUCCCGCCAAAAACUUUUUUUGCGGAAUCACUUUUGUGGCGGGAAAAUUUUACAAGGUGUUUUGAAGGUUUUAAGGAGUAUUUACAAGUGUUUUGUAAGGUUUUACAAUGUAUUUUAAAAGGUUUUACAAGAUACUUAUAAGGUUUUAUAAGGUAUUUAUAACUUGUAAAACCUUAUAAAAAAACUUGUAAAACCUUAUAACUUGUAAAAUCUUAUAAUAUCUUAUAAAUACCUUAUAAAUACGUUGUAAAACCUUUUAAAAUACAUUGUAAAACCUUAUAAAUACCCUGUAAAAAACCUUUAAAAUACCUUGUAAAUUUUUCCCGCCAAAAAUUUUCCCGCCAAAAAAAUUGCGGAAUCACUUUUUCUGCAAAAAAAAUUUUUGGCGGGAAAAAAUUUUACGGGAACAUUUUACAAGGUAUUUUAAAAGUUUUACAAGUUUUUACAAGUGUUUUGGCGGUAAAAAUUACGGGAUCACUUUUCCCGCCAAAAAAUAUUUUGUAUUUUGUGGACCUAAUUUUGUUAUAUUUCCUUAUAUAUUUGUGAUAUUUUUUAUUAAAAGAAGGGUAAUUUAGUUAUUUUGUACAUAAAAAGGGAUAUUUUUAAAAAUGGACAGCCAAAUGGGGCAUUUUUGAAAAGGUGUAUUGAAAAAUGGGCAUUUUUUUGAGUCUUCCUAAAUUAAAUGAUUUUAUUUUCUUCGUAACUUUCUUUGUUUCAUUUACACUGCCGAAAAAAUUCUAUAUCUGAUCAAUUUUUGGUUUAAUUUUAAUAUUUUGAAAUAAUAAUUCAGUUGAUAUAAAAUAUAUAUAAAUAUAUAUAUAUAUACAUAUAUAUAUAUAUAUAAAUCAUAUAUAAAUGAUGGAAUUUUAUUUGUUUUGAUAUAUAUGAUAUUAUAUUCAAUGGAAGAUAUAAACAAAAUAAAUUGGCUAAUAAUAAUUUACUCAUAAAACUCAAAGAGAUUUCAUUUCAAAUCACUUAACAUACACAAAUUUUAAAUGUAUUUUAGUUUUUUUUUUGGUAGGGAAAUGUAUUUUAGUUUUGAAUAACACCAAACUUUAAGAUCUUUUAAGCAUGAUUUACAAAUAUGAGAUCCAAUAACACCAAACUAUAAAACAUGGUUUAGAAUCAUUGAUUGAAUAACAGUGGAUUAGUUAUAUAUUUCAAUUCUAUCAAAAUCAAUGAUUGAAUAAUCUAAUCAUGCAGCUGAUCCAAAAAGGAAAAAAAAAAGAGAUUUGUUAUUGGAUUAUUGAUUUGUAGAUAUAUAUAGGAUUUGAAAAUAUUUAUUAAUUAUGAAAUCAAGACAUAUGAAUUUUGAAAUAACAUUUGUUUACCCAUUGAUUUGAAUCCUUCUAUUUUUCUCUUUCAAAUCUAUUCAAAUCCAUUUAAAACAUAUUUGGAUUUUAAAAUCCAAAAACAAAUAAGUAAACGAAUAAGAUAGUAUUUUAACUAGUAUUUAUAAAUCAUAAAACCAAUAACACAUGAUUUUAGUUAGGAUUUUAAAAUCAAUGAUUGAAUAACAAAUGAUUUUAUUUUGGAUUUCCAUAAUGAUUUUAGUUUGGAUUGAAUAACAAAUAAAUCUAUGAACCAAUAACCCCUCAUUCAAUUAUAUGAAAUCAAGACAUAUGAAUUUUGAAAUAACAUUUGUUUACCCAUUGAUUUGAAUCCUUCUAUUUUUCUCUUUCAAAUCUAUUCAAAUUCAUUUAAAACAUAUUUGGAUUUUAAAAUCCAAAAACAAAUAAGUAAACGAAUAAGAUAGUAUUUUAACUAGUAUUUAUAAAUCAUAAAACCAAUAACACAUGAUUUUAGUUAGGAUUUUAAAAUCAAUGAUUGAAUAACAAAUGAUUUUAGUUUGGAUUUCCAUAAUGAUUUUAGUUUGGAUUAAAUAACAAAUAAAUCUAUGAACCAAUAACCCCUCAUUCAAUUAUAUUUUAGAUUUGAAUUUAAUUACCUUGAUUGAUACCUCUCUAACGUCGAAAGAACCGUUUAGUGCUCCGUUCUCAACAUCAUUUCGUAACAAAUUGUCAAUUGUAGACAAUCUCAAGACAAUGAGAUUAAUGCUCGUAGAGAACUUAUUAACAUAGGAAUAUGAAACUAAGAAGGAGAUAGCUCAUAUAGAGCUUUAUUAUGCAAAGAAACUAAAAUGCGAGAAAGCUUAAAUUGUCACCAAGAUUAAAUGAUUCUAGAUUUGAUAUUUCAUAAGUUGAGAAGAAGAGAGUUGCUCCAAAUGGCAACUCCCAAAGUUGCUUACAUUAACUCUCAUAAUAGCAUAUAUAUGAAUCUAGACUUACUAGAAAACCCUAAUUACAUAUGAUGAUGGGCUUCUCAUGAGGCAUAGUUGGUGGGCUUCUUGAGGCCUCUUAUAUCAAUGUCAUGAAUUAAUCUUGUUUUUAAACCGUCGGGACCAACAAAUCGAGUAGUCACGUUCCGGACAUAUUUAUGAAUAUCCUUGCUCUGGAGGAGCACGUUGUUCUUUCCAAAUAUCCGCCUUAAGCUCUCUGUAGCACCCAAGUGCGAACUCGCCUUUGCCAUCUCCAUGUUCACGUCGGGAUCAACCAUAACUCGAUUUAGGUUGUUAAUUUUUUUUUGGAAAUAUUUUUUUUGUUAAUAUACUUUUUUUUUAAGAUAACAAUAAUUUGGUAACGCAAAAUUUCAUGCUAAUGAAAUUAGUAGUAUAUUCAAUUAGAAAAACAAGAAAAUCUUAGAUUUAAAUAUAAGUGAUUUUACUAUUUUAGAUAUUGUGUAUGACGUUUAAAAGAAAUAAAGAAAUCUCAUAGACCUGCAUUUUAGAUCAAUGACUCGCGAUUAACACAAUUGGAUUCAAAAGUAAAUUAACUUUAUAACCCUUAAUGAGGUGAAUUAAAUUGGUGGUUACAAUUUUUUUCUAAUAACAUAGUAACGUAAUAUCUUACGAAAACAAAUUUGUUUUUUUUUUAAAGUAUAAUAAUAUUAAUAUAGAGAUUCAUAAAUGACCAAAUUACCUUUCUUGGUUAACACUUUCAUGUUAUACAUAUACUUCCUAUUACACGCACACAACUGCUUCCUGUUGCACGCAAACAACUGCUUCCUGUUAUACGAUGUACUUUCAGUUGCUUUUUCAUGCUCAUCUGACCACUUAGCUUCUCAUCUGGUUCGUAUUUAGCUCAAAAAUUAUUUUAUAUAGUUUAAUUCUAAUUUAAUUGGAAAUGUAUAUUUGAUUUUGUCAAAAUCAUAAUAAUACAAUUAAUAUCAAUUAAAAUUUUGUUUUGUGUCGAUUCCUGGUGAAACUGGUUUAGAUUUAUAUGAUAUGGUAUGAAUAAAUGAUUAUAAACAUGUAGUCCAGUUAUUUGACUGAGAGGAUCUCCACACAAGAUUUUCACUGUUUAUGAAAGUGUCUUGGUAUUAUUUUAUUUUUGGAAAAGGGGUUCUGUGCAAAAAAACCUUCUAACUCACCAAUUUUUGAAACUUUACCGUUCAACUAAAAAAAUGCAAAUUAAUCAUACGUGGUCAAAAAUGAUAAGCAAUCUAACCCUUAUAUGUAUAUUGUAAACAUUUCACAGUUAUAUACAUUAGAUUUCUAAAAUUCAAAUGGUUGAGUUAAAUUCCUCGUCGCGAGAGAUUCGAUUUAAUAUAUUAUUUAUCAAAAUUUUAUAAACUUGACGGUAAUAAAAAUAAGUUACAUUGCAUAUUAUUUUUGAUUUCAUAUAUUUAAUUUAUAUUUUUUUAAGGUUAAAGAUAACAUUAUAAAAAUUGACGAAUUUGAGGAUCUUUUGCUCAAACCUCAAAAAAAUGUCUUGGUAUUAUAAUUUUAAGCUUUUAGUCAAAGUUUAUAGUCAAAUCACUUUUUUCUAGUCUUUGUUUUUAUCUCCAGUGAUCGUUGCAUGUUCUGCACUAAUGAAAUUACCAAAAAUUUUGGUAUACUCCAAGACUUAUAUAACUUGUUACAUCAUCAAUAGUAUAAUACAAUUUUACAUAUACUUAACUGGUUAUAUUCAAAUUUGUGAAACACUUUCCCCCAAACAAUUUCUAGCUAUCAUAGAGUAUCUCAGAACUUAUUUUGUUUUUUUCUCUUUUUAGUCGAGAGGGCUCACGUAUCUUCAGAACUUAUAACACGCAUAACCUUACAAAUACUUAUAAACAACUUAACAAUAGACACUUUCCCAAUAUUUUUAAUCACUAUAUUUGCACAUAUGAAACUAUCACGUACGAUUUAAAGUUACAACCCUAAAAUCAUUGGAUAUAUGAAACUCUUUCUAAAAUUCUAGCGUAUAUCUCUCCUUCCACGAAUCAAGCAUAUGCAAUAACUUACGAAAUUAAUGCUCCGAUUGUCACGUGAAAUAGCUUCAAUUAUCCGAUGCUGAUGUUAUACGAUAUACGUUUGACUUCGUCUAUAUAAUAUUUAAUUUAUACAUCUAUAUCUAUAUAUUAUAUGUCAUCUGUAAUAUAUAAAUUUUAUAUUUAAAAAUGAUGCACUGUAUUCACUGUAUGGGUGCACAAGGAAAACCACGAAUACUGCAGCUUAAUUUGAAUUCAUUGAAUAGUAUAUAAAUAGAGCCGGCUCUAACAUUUUGAAGGCCACAAAUUUUAAAAAAAAAGAGAGGCCUAAUUCUUCCCAAAAAAAAAGUUACGGUAUUUCUGCAAGUGUGAGAAUCGAACCCUCAACUUCUGAUUCCUCCAGCCACCGUUUAACCAGCUAUAAGAAAUUUUUGAAAAAAUGAGGGCCGAUAUAUGAAUAACUACAGUCUGCGCCGCAAGUACAUGCUUCCCUAGCUUGUGGAUAAUAAAAAUGAUAAAAAUGAAAAUUCAUUAUUUUUUUAAUAUCCACAAAAAAAUUCUUAAUCGACAUUUAAUCUAAAACCAGAAAGUAACAAUUUUUAUUAGGUUUUAAACUAUUCCCUUCGUUUUAUUUGAAGUAUCGUUUAAAUUUAUCAUUUCACAUAUUAGAAGACUUAAUAAAAUGUUUGUUAUACCCUUUCUUAGUAGAUUACAUAGUUUCAUCUCCCUUAUAAAGAUAUUGAAGUAAUAGAGUAAUAAACAACCGGAAUCUUAGUUACAGUUUUGUAUUAAAAACUAAAAGUAUAACACCCCGAUUUUAGAAAUGUAGUAGUGCAUGCGGAGAUGUUUAAAAGAAUUGAUUUGGCUACCUAUAUCACCAAAGUGCACUUAUCUUUUUGGUCAAACAUCCUGAGAGAACUCCACAAUUAAGCGUGCUUGGGCAUGAGUAAUUUCAGAAUGGGUGACCUUCCGGGAAAUGAUUGUCGGAAUCGUGCGAGUGUGGACAAAACACGGGGAAAGAACAUAUGAUGAUUUAUAGGAUCGGUAAACAAGUAUUUGAGCCUCCUGGACAUAGCGAACUGACCGUCGGACAGAGAUGUUGGGCCCACGGGCUUGAGAGAGAAUGUGAGAUCCAUUAAAAGAGGUAGUGGUUGGAGUGUUAUAAGUGGUAUCAUAACCAAACCCAGACAAGUGUGGAGUCAAGAAGACUCACACCAUCGGGGGUGACGGUCUUGGUGCGCAACAAAGACGAUGCGAUCUGUUAGUGGGGGUGAAUUAUAACACCCCAAUUUCAGGAAUGUGGUGGUGCAUGCGGAGAAGUUUAAAAGUGUUGAUUUGACCACCUAUAUCACCAAAGUGCACUUAUCUUUUCUGUCAACUGUUCGGAGAGAACUCCACAGUUAAGGGUGCUUGAGCUGAAGCAAUUCCAAGAUAGGUGACCUUCCGGGAAGUGAUUGUCGGAACUCUGUGAGUGAAGACAAAACACAGGAAAAGAUCAUGUGGUGAUUUGAAGGAUCGGUAAACAAGUCUUCAAAGCCUCCCGAACGUAGCGGACCUACCGUCGGUAGAUGGUGGGCCCACGGGAAUUGAUUUGACCACCUACGUCACCAAAGUGCACUUAUCUUUUCGGUCAACUGUCCUGAGAGAACUCUAAAGUUAAAAGUGCUUGAGUUAGAGCAGUUUCAAGAUGGGGGACCUUCCAGAAAGUGAUUGUCGGAACUGUGUGAAUUAGGACAAAACACAGAGAAAGAUCAUUUGGUGAUUUGUAGGAUCGGUAAAUAAAUUUUUAAAACCUUUCCGACGUACUGAACCAGCCGUUGGUAGAUGAUGGAUCUACAGACCAAAAGAGCACGUGAAACCCAUUAAGAGAAAUGGUGGUUGGGACAUUACAGAAAAACAAUACUUAAUUUAAGAUUUAAAAGACAAUUUUACAACUAUUUGGCUUCUUAAAUGAAAAAGUAAUGUUUAGACAAAAAAAGAUGAUAAUUCUUAAAUUUUGAAGUCAAACCACUUUGUUUAUGGGCGGUGUCGUUAAUUGUUACAUUGUUGACUAAUGGAAUUUAGAAUAGAUAGAUUCUCAUCGAACAGAACGUAAAUGCCUAGUGCAUUUUAAUUAUUAGUUUAUCACCUAAUGUUUUAAUAUACAAGGUUGUAAAAUGGUAUGCAGUUUAGUCUUUAGAAUAUAGACAGAUUUUCAUCGGACAGAACGUUAAUGCCUAGUGCAUUUUAAUUAUUAGUUUACCACCUAAUGUUUUAAUAUACAAAGGGGUUAAAUAGUACGUAUUUUUAUGAGCAAAUUGGAUAGAAGACAAUAGAAGGCUAAUUAGUUUUUCCGUUAAUCGUUUUAAAGCUUAUAACAAUGAAAAUAUUAGUUUCUCUUUUUAUCAAAAAAAUUUUUACGCGUUUCUCCAUUUUAACACGAUCCGACUUAGUACAUGAGACAUCAAGAUGUUAUGCAUGGAUUAUAACGAAUCGCUACUCUCAUUCAAAGCCAUAGUUUUUAACACAUUUACUAUUCAUCAUAACAAGUAUAAUAUUAGGCAUGGAUGAAAUAUCUUGAUUCUAUAAUGUAACUGGAAUUUAUCAAAUUAAGAGUAUCGAACCAAACCAAAAUCAUCACAAAUACUGAAACGGGAGUUAGAUUCUUAUAUCUGAAGAACUAGAACUGAACCCGAACUAAACCAAAAAUUCAAUGGAUACCCAAACAUACAGAAAUAUAAUUAGAUACCAAAAAAUAAUAUUUAUAUAUAUUUAAAUUUUAGGAUAUUUCAAGUAUUUUCAGAUAAUUUGAGUAGAUUUCUGUUUAUUUGGAUAAUACAGUUACAAUUUUUUCGAGAUCUUUUGGGUAAUAAAAUUACAAUUUUCUUUGAUUGUAUUGGGUACUUGUUUUUUACAUUUAGGUAGAUUUUGGUAAAAAUGACCAAUCCGAACCGAAUCCAAAGACUUUUUGGUUCUUGACUGGUUCAUCAUAGAAAUCUCCUAACUGACCCGAUCCGACAAGGAAUCAAAUCGAAUCCAAAAUUCUAAACUAUAUGAAUGAAACCUAAACCCUAAAAGUGAAAACCAUAUGGAACUGAUCCAAAACCGACCCUAACUUAACCCAUGUACCGCUUAUUUUAAAACAAAAAUUAACAAGUAUUUCCUGAAUCCAGCCCGCACAUUUUGAAUUUAUAACUAGUUUAUACGAAAUUUCAUUCAUCUACUAAAUACUACUUAAGGCCUGGUUUGACUCAUAUGGUAGAUAUAAACCUAAAUAGCGGAAUAAAUGAAUUAUGAAACAAAAGAAUCAAUAGAUCGAUAACACUCUUACAAUCUGAAUUUAUUUUUUAAACGGCGAGAAAACUACUAUUUAAUACAUGGAAUAAGUUUCUUUAAGUGGAUGAUUUGUUGGGUUGUAGUUGUAGAACUUUUGUUGUACGAUUUUUGGUGUAUCUGUGUUGGAUGUAGCUGUAGUUUUUUUUUGUAGAAAUUUCAAUAGUAAAACCUGAUUGGUAAUAUUAUAAAUUUAAAUCUUAAGUAUAUGAAUUUUAUAAAUUUGUAAUAUAUUACAUACAAUAAAGGAUGAAACAUAGAAUAAAUAGUAAGUUUUAUAAAUACAUAAUACAUUAUAUAAUUUCUGGUGAAAAUAUUUAUUAUAAUAUAAAUUUUUAUAAUAACUAAAUGAAAUAUAUAUAUAUAUAUAUGUAUAUAACUUUUAUUAUUAGGUCUUUUGUUACUUAUAUAUUUAAUGUUUAUUUUGGUAAUUUAGUGAGUAUAUAAUCCAGUAUUCAGCUAUUCAUGUUUUUUUUUUUGUUACUCUGCUUUUCACAAUUAUGGUUUUAGUUCAUUAGCUAGCUUAAUUACGAUUUUUCUCGUUCUGCCCCUCGGUGCUUUCACUUGUUUUCUACUCGCCAUUUAUGGCAGUUUCAGCUCUUUUUGGUCAAUUGAUUAUUGGAGAUUUACAAUAUAAUCUCUAUAAACUGAUUCACAAUAAAUUAAUAAAUACUAUAAAAUAAUAAAAUUAUUUGUACUCAAGUCGGAUCGGUGUAAAAAUAAAUAAAAUUUUAUAAGAUAACAAUAUUUUUUAAAAUCUUUAUGUAAAUAUAUGGUCAAAUAAUAAUUAUGUAAAUUUUUAUAUGCAUAUAUGUAUUUUUUUUCCUUCACAUAUGCAUAUGUAUAUAUAUACAUAUAUAUAUAUAUAAUAUAUUAUUAGUGGCUUUUAAUGAAAUUUGCUUAGAUCUCAUCACUGAUUUUUUUAAUAAAAAAUGUUGUGUCGUUUUUUAAAACUAUCUUAUUUUUUUUUAUGGUCAAUAAAAUUUUCAUAAAAUAACCAAAACUCUCUGAGAAGUAUGUAUAAUAGCAAAUCUUGAUAAGAGCUCGUAAGAUAAAUCCAAACUAUAAUUAUUUCGUUUAUUGAUUUAAAGACGUUGUUUUUUUUUUCAAUCAAACAUGGGUGAGAAAGUGAGACUGAUGAGUGGUAGGUAGGGAUGUCAAAAUGGUUAACCCAACCCAACUCAACUCAUUAUCCAAUGAGUUUGGAGUUAAAUGAGUUCAUGUGUUGACUCAACUUAUUUAAUUGGGGAGAAAAUUACGUUUUAUUUGAUGGGUUAGAUGGUUAAAUGGGUUGACCCAUUAAUGUAAUGACUAAAUUAAUAAUUUAAGUAAAUUAAUAAUAAAAGAUAAUCAUUAUUAUUUGGUAGAAAAUCAUGGAUUUACUAUUUGGGAAGAAAAUUACGGAUUUACGUUUUUGGCGGAAAAAUUGCACAUUCUCGUUUUUGAAUAAAAACUUUGAAUCUUUUUUGGCGGAAAAAUCACGGAUUUACGUUUUUUGCUGGAAAAUCGCAGAUUUACGUUUUUGGCGAGAAAAUCACGGAUUUACUUUUUUGGCGGGAAAAUUGCACAUUCUCAUUUUUGGCUAAAAAUUGUAAAAAAGUUGGCGGAAAAACUGCGGAUUUAUGUUUUUGGCGUGAAAAUCACGAAAUUUAUAUUUUUGACGGAAAAAUUGUGUAUUCACAUUUUUGGCGGAAACAUUAAGGAUUAUAUUAAAUCGGUUUAGAAGUUUUGCUUAGACUCAAAUUGAAACUGGUUUAGAGAUUUUAAUUGGUUUAAUUCAAUUUAACAAAAACUGAUGGGUUAAAUGGGUAAACCAUGGUUGACAAAAAAAAAGGUAAAUCAUUGAAACUAUUGAUCCAUUACAACCCAACUCAUUUUAUCCAUCAACCCAUUUGACUCAAUAACUCAUUUGAUCCAUCAAAUCAUUUGAGUCAAAAUUUUCAACUCAUUAGGGUUCAUGGAUUGAAUUGACCUAUGAAUUUUGACCUAUUUUGACACCCUUAAUUAGUAGCAGGGGCGGAGGCAUGUGCAAUGGAGGGGGGUCAACAGACCCCAACAAACUUUAAAUACCUUUAAUGUUUUUUUAAAAAAUGUAAGAUUGACCCCAUUGAAAAUUUUACUCUGACCCCUAUAAAUCUGACUUAAACAUAUGCUUUACUUAAAAAGAAAACCCAAAACCCAUAUUCUCUAGCUAAAAAUAUACUUGAUCUUUCUAAAUUGAACCCAAACCCAUAAAACAGUCAUUUAAGCCAUGUAAAUCUUUAUAAAUUUGGAUUUUUAAUUAUAAAACUAGUCGCUUACAAAACAAAGUUUUAAUGUUUAUUUUUGUUUAUAUGAUUUUGACUCCAAUAAAAAUCUGUUCUAGCUCCGCCACUGCCUAGUGGUAGGUAAGGUAUGGUGAAUAAAAAAAAAAAUCGGAAAGUAAGACAUGAAUUUAAAGUUAAAGCCUAUAUGUAUUUAAUUUCAGAAUGUUGAUUUUUUAAAAUAAGAAAUUACUCUAAGAAAGUCGUUAUUUGAUCCUAAAAAAAGUUAUUUGAUCAAAAAUCGUAGAAAGUUAUAUAUACUUUGAGAACAUAAAUUAUUUUAACGAUAAUUAAUAAAAUAUUAUUAGUGAUUUCAAAUAAAUAAUAUAAACUUUUACAAGAUGAGUAUAAAGUAAUAUAACGAUAAUAUAGGAGGUAUUAUUAAAAUUAGUUAUUAAACAACUAUAGAUAGUAGAUACAAUAGUUUUUUCCAAGAUGCAUGCAUCGUCAGUUUCUAUAUAUAUAUAUAUAGAGUAUAGCGUGUUCUUUCAUUCCGAAUAAACUUGUACGAUUGAUACAAAAUGUGGAGACUGAGAAUUGGUGCUAAGGCCAGAGACGAUACUCAUUUGUUCACCACCAAUAACUACGUUGGGAGGCAGAUUUGGGAGUUUGAUGCCGACGUAGGCUCUCCCGAGGAACUUUCCGAGGUCGAGGAGGCUCGUCGGAAUUUCUCCAACAACAGGUCGCGUUUCAAGGCUAGUGCUGAUCUUCUAUGGCGGAUGCAGGUGAAAUAUUUUACAAUGUAAAAGCAUAACAAUUUGGUACCUAUUUCAGAAAAUAGUAUUUUUAUAUAUUCCUUUAUGUUCUAUUUUGUUUUGAGGACUUUACAGUUUCUUAGGGAGAAGAAGUUCGAACAGAAGAUUCCUGGAGUGAGAGUAGAGGAUGCAGAGAAAAUAACGUAUGAAGAUGCAAAGACUGCAUUAAGAAGAGGAUUACUCUAUUUCACGGCCUUGCAAGCUGAUGAUGGACAUUGGCCUGCUGAAAAUGCUGGUUCCAUAUUCUUCAAUGCCCCUUUUGUGAGUUACUACUCCCACACACUAAAUUUUUUACAUUUAUAGUUAAACAAUGAAUUAUCGAUCCAACAAUGAUUGAAAAAAUAAAAUCAUGCUGCGUAGGUUAUAUGUCUUUACAUCACUGGACAUCUUGAGAAAAUCUUCACUCACGAGCAUCGUAUAGAGUUACUUCGUUACAUGUACAACCAUCAGGUACAUCUAUAAAUAUCUCGUUUGCACACAAAACAUACAUAGGGUGCAAAUGUUUGUGUGUAGAUGAAUGAUUAGAAACAACUUAGUUGAAACAAAAAGAAUUUAUAUAUCAUUAAGCUCGUUUUUCUGCGAAAUAGUAGAUGAAUGAAUUCAAAUUUUUUUUGCUCUGUGAUUUGUUUUAUUUUUAAAUUUUUAGUUAAAUAGGUUGAAUCAUUUUUACAACUAAUUUAUCUCAAAUGGUGAAAAGUUAGAUGAAUGCUCUUACAACUUCUUAAUUUAGAGGUGGGAGUACGGUUUUUCUGUUUGGUUUAGUUUCUAUUUUUUUGGUUUUACGAUUUUUUUGGUUUAAAAAAAACUAAAACGAUAUAUAAACCAUAUGUAAUAUUGUUUGGCUACGGUUUGUUUUUAUUUCCGGUUUUAUGGUUUAUCGGUUUUAUAAAUAAUGAAACCAUAUGCAUUUUAGUUCGGUUUUUGUUAUUUUUGGUUUAUUCCAUGAUUUUUCUUACAAAAAAUAACAGUAAAUAUUUUUAUCUUGAAGUAUAUCAUCUUUGAUUAAUUAGAUUAUAUGAAAAUGUUAGUACAUUCCAACAUAUUUUAUCAAUUAAAAGUUAAACGUAAUAUUAUGAGCUAUAACAUCGUUCAAAGAGUCCUCUUCUCUAAGACUAUACAUAUAGAGUUUCUAAAAAAAAACAACAUUAGAUUAAGAAAAUUUAUUUAUGUAGCUUAUAUCAUCAGAAAGAGAAAAUAUAUAAAAAAGGAUUAAAUACUAACCAAAUAAGUGAUAUUAUAAUAUAAAAAAUUAGAAACAGAAAAAAGAAAAAAAAAAAACAGUUUUACAGUUUUAAACCAAACCGAAAUGAAACCAAAAUAUUUUUAAUAAUUGUAAUCAAACGGGUUUUUGGAGAAAACUGAAACCGAACCAUAUCACCUAAUUAAGGUUUAUUAAGUUUGGUUUUUUCGGCUAAGGUUUGUUUUGCGUACCCCUAUAAUUUAUUAAAUACAAAAAGACUUGGCAAAAUUGAUUUGUAGAACGAAGAUGGUGGGUGGGGAUUACACGUAGAAAGCCCCAGCAAUAUGUUCUGCACAGUCAUUAACUACGUAUGUUUGCGGAUCUUGGGAGUAGAAGCUGGUCAUGAUGACCAAGGAAGCGCUUGUGCAAGGGCUCGUAAGUGGAUCCUCGACCAUGGUGGUGCUACCUACUCGCCCUUAAUAGGAAAAACUUGGCUUUCGGUAUUUGACUACUUUCCUUUUUCUAUUAUAUAUGAUGUAUUAGGAUUUAGGAAUAUCCUACAUCGAGAGUAAGAUAAGACCUUGAAUGGUAUAAAAGAGACAUCGUCAUUUGGUUUUGAAUUAAAAUCUCAUGAAGCUUAAAAUCGUCAUGUAAUAUGCAUACAUGAUAAUAUCUUCUUUCAUUUAAAAUUGAUUAGGUUCUUGGAGUGUAUGAUUGGUCUGGCUGCAAACCUAUACCCCCUGAGUUCUGGUUCCUUCCUUCUUGUUUCCCUGUUAAUGGAGGUUUGAAUUUAGACAGCUUAUAAUAUUAUGGUAUUGUUUAUGUUUGAUUUCAUUUUAAUUUUGCUUACAUCUUUCAAAAUAUAUAUAAAUGCAGGGACUCUCUGGAUUUAUUUACGGGAUAUUUUUAUGGGGUUGUCAUACUUGUAUGGUAAAAAGUUUGUUGCUACCUCAACACCUCUCAUUCUCCAGCUCCGAGAAGAAAUUUAUCCCGAGCCUUACACAAAAAUCGAUUGGAAGCAAGCACGAAACCGAUGUGCAAAGGUAAGUUCAGAUUAAAACUUUUUUUUUAAUAAAAUAAUUUUAUAAAAAGUGUUAGUUAACUAAAUUUUUAAUAUGUUAAAGCAAUGGGAUGAUUAUCAUGCAGGAAGAUCUCUACUAUCCACAAUCAUUUUUACAAGAUUUAUUUUGGAAAGGUGUUCACAUAUUCUCAGAAAAUAUCCUAAAUCGAUGGCCUUUCAACAAUACCAUAAGACAAAGAGCUCUUCGAACUACUAUGGAUCUCGUUCACUAUCAUGAUGAAGCCACCAGAUACAUUACAGGCGGAUCUGUGCCGAAGGUAUUUUUUUUUUCUUAUUUUAUUGUCUUCUCAGAUCUGUAACAGAAUAAUAUAUGGAUUAUAUUUUUGUUUUUGCAUUUUUUAUAUAGGCCUUUCAUAUGCUUGCAUGUUGGGUAGAAGACCCAGAUAGUGACUAUUUUAAGAAACAUCUUGCUCGAGUCCCUGAUUUCAUAUGGAUUGGCGAGGAUGGUCUUAAAAUUCAGGUUAGUUCUUCUUGAUUCUAACUUUUAUUUAUAUAGAAACUCUAAAAUCAUACUAUCGAACAUAGCACUAAAGACGAUGUAUUAACAUAUGUACAACAUUUGCAGUCUUUUGGAAGCCAGUUGUGGGAUACAGCCUUGUCGCUACAUGUCCUUAUAGACGGUUUCGAUGAUGAUGUUGAUGACGAAAUUAGGUUAACGCUCUUUAAAGGAUACGAGUAUUUGAAGGAAUCUCAAGUUACAGAGAACCCUCCUGGCGAUCACAUGAAAAUGUUCCGUCACAUGGCGAAAGGUGGAUGGACAUUUUCGGACCAAGAUCAAGGAUGGCCAGUUUCAGAUUGUACUGCUGAGAGUUUAGAGGUAAAAGUAGUUAAUACACCAGCUUUACUGUACUAAUUUAAUUUCAUAGCCUGAAUCUAAAAAAUAAUUUUUGUCAAAAUCUCCAGUGCUGUCUAUUCUUCGAGAGCAUGCCAUCAGAGUUUAUUGGCAAAAAAAUGGCUGUGGAGAAACUCUAUGAAGCCGUUGAUUUCCUUCUCUAUUUGCAGGUAUGUCGAUUAAGAAACUAAUCGUAUAUUUUCUUGUUUCCAACGAUUCUGUAUAAUAAAAUAAAUUUAACUGGUAAAAUUUAGAAAGAAAUACUUGGAAAUGAUGAAUUCUAAUAACUAACUGAUUUUAGUAUUUAAUUAGCUAAUUCAUGUUUUAUUAUUAAACAAAAAAUUAAAUUUAAAUAUGUACCACUUUAACAUAUUACUAUAUUAGUGAUAUAACCGCUAUGUGAGUAUAGUAUGAUUUUAUUAUAUAAUAUUAUUCAUAUCUGUCCAUGGCAACUACGCAUCAGUCUCAGUGGCGGACCUAGGAAUAAGUUUUAGGGGGUCAAAAUAUAACUAAAAUAAAUAAUAAUUUUUUUUAAAAAAACUAAAGACAUCUUUGUUUUUUUUAUAUAAAAAAACCGCAAAUUAGGUUCAAUAUUUAUGGGUGAAGCAAACAAAAAUGCUAAAAAUAUGUAAGGAAUUGAGCCAAAACAUUAAAAAAUAUAAAAAUAUUAUUAUAUUUGAAGUGUCUAAACAUAAAUUUAUAAUUUUAAGAGGGUCAAAACAAAAAAAAUAAUUAAAAAAGUAUAAGACUUAAGGGAUUAUAAUACAAUUUCAGAAUUUUAGGGGGGUCAGCUGACCCCCUUUAAGCCUUACAGUAUAUUUAUUUGAUGUUUCAUAUAUAGAGAAAUAUUUUGUACAUAAUUGUUGUUACAGAGUGAUAAUGGAGGUAUAACGGCAUGGCAACCAGCGGAUGGGAAAACUUGGUUAGAGGUAAAAUUUGAUUUAGUUAUAUUUCACGGUAUUUCGAGGAUGUAACAUUUAAACUGAAUCCAAUUGAAUACAGUGGCUUAGUCCAGUGGAGUUUAUUGAAGACGCGGUUGUCGAGCAUGAGUAAGAAUUUUUUUUUUUUUUUUGAUAAACUCUAUCGGCAUGAGUAAGAGUUAUUCAUCAACCCUUCUUCGCGAUCUAUUAUUUUUCUGGAAAAAGAAAAAUAAUUUAAAUUGUGAGAUAUCAUUUCUAUCUUUUAGGUAUGUAGAAUGUACGGGGUCAGCAAUUGCAGCAUUGGCUAAGUUCAAUAAACAGUUUCCAGGAUACAAAAAGGAAGAGGUUGAACGGUUUAUAACCAAGGGGGUGAAGUACAUUGAGGACUUUCAAAUGGUGGAUGGUUCAUGGUACGGAAAUUGGGGAGUGUGUUUCAUCUAUGGAACCUUCUUUGCGGUAAGAGGUCUUGUGGCUGCAGGGAAGUGUUACAAUAACUGUGAGGCAAUUCGUAGAGCAGUUCGUUUCAUUCUAGACACACAAAACCUGGAGGGUGGCUGGGGAGAAAGCUAUCUCUCUUGUCCAACCAAGAAAUAUACUCCUUUGAUAGGAAACAAGACAAAUGUGGUGAAUACAGGACAAGCACUUAUGGUUCUAAUUGCGAGUGAUCAAAUGGAGAGAGAUCCUUUGCCGGUUCAUCGCGCUGCCAAAGUGUUGAUUAAUUCACAGUUGGAUAAUGGUGAUUUCCCGCAACAGGUGAAUAAAAUCCUCUUCUCUAUUUCUCAUUCACUCUAAUAUAUAAGAUGAAUAUAACUAUACAUUAAUUACUUACAUGUAUUUCAAAGCUCGUGUCAACAUAUUGNNNNNNNNNNNNNNNNNNNNNNNNNNNNNNNNNNNNNNNNNNNNNNNNNNNNNNNNNNNNNNNNNNNNNNNNNNNNNNNNNNNNNNNNNNNNNNNNNNNNCGGACUUUUCUUUUAUAAAUUUUCAGGAAAUAAUGGGAGUUUCAAGAUGAAUGUGAUGCUCCAUUUUCCUACCUAUAGGAACAUGUUCACUCUUUGGGCUCUCACACAUUACACCAAGGCUCUGCGAGGGCUUUGAAACACCACAACCCAAGAAUAAAAAUAGGCCGGUUUUUAUACUUUUUAGAAAUAUUCGGAUAAAAUUACUAAAAGAGUAAACAAAACAUAAUAUGAAAAACAUAAGCUAAUCGGUUAGCUAACUAUGCGUUUCGUUAAAUGUAAGCUUGGAUUUAGUCAAUUCGAUUAUGUUUGACGAUGUGAAUGGAAAUGCGUUCCCACGACACGUUUUGAUGUAAUUUUUUAUAUAGGUUAUGAACCCCCGCGAUGUCGCGGGAGAACUCAUUUUCAGCAAAUAUAUUUAUUGUGUUUAUGUAUUAAAUUAUUAUGAUAAUAUAUUUAAAUAUAUAAAUUAUUACAUAAAAUUAACUCUGUUUUAAAGUUACAUCGUAAAUAUUUUUCAAAGAUGUUAAAACAAUUUAAGAAUAAAAAUGUAAAAAGGAAGAAUUAUGAUUAAAAUACUUUUGAAACAUUUUUUAUGAAUGUAAAAUUAUUUAUAAGUGACAAAAUACAUAACGAAGAGUUAUAAUAUAGAUAUGGGAAAUUCUAGCGGGUCAAAACCAAAAAUUUGGAUGGAGUUGGUACUCAUAAUGACUUGUGGGUGACUAAGAACUUUGCCUGAGAAAUAGUGUUUUUUGUUUAUCCAUUGUUCUUUAAAUAUAAAAUUAAUAUUUAUUCUACUAUAUAUUUUCAAGAAAAUAUAAUAUUUGAUGACGUAAAUUACAUAUAUAACAAAAAAUAAACAUUUACAAGAUCUCAUAAAUUUAUAUUUAUAUUGAUAAAUUAACUGAGUAAAGAAACUCUUCCUUGAAUAUUCAUCUGACGAACUGGAAUCAUUGUUUUUUUCCUAAUAAUGUAGAUGAAUUCUGGAUUACUAUACCAUUUGAAAAAAAUUCAUUUAACGCUUACCACAUUUCAAACGCCCAAUCACAAGUGUCACAUGAGGAUGUCUUCUCAUAUUCGGACUUGUAAUAGUGUUAAUGCAACGUCAAUAUUUCCUUGUAUACAAUCUAUAUAUAUUGCCUUAAGAUAGAAAGCAUCAUUGUUGCCAUAUAAAAUAGUUACAUAAAAAAAUUCACUAUAUAAUCCUUCCAAUUCUAAGAAAAAAAAAGUGUUGGUCUCUGUAUUAGAAUUUUAUAUGUAAAGUAGAUUAAAACUUCUCCAUUUUUAUAAUCAUUCCUAAAAACUUUGGUUAAAUCAAGAAUGAGAAGAUUUUUUUUAAUAUUAAAAUGAUGUAUGUUUAGAAAUAGUUUAGAAAAUUAAAAAUUUAGGGAAAUUUUACAGAUUUUUUUUUUAGGAUUUAUCAUGAAACAAAUAAUCUAUGUUAAAAAAUAAAAUCUGGGAAUUACUUAAGAAGAAAGAUAAAUAUAUAGAGUUCAAAAGUCAUGAAUAUUUAAAUAGACAACUAUUCAUACAAAAAAUUGUGACAAAAAAUGCAAUAUAGUGAAGGGACGUAUUUAUAUGAAUAGAUGCAACUAUAAACACACAACUGUAAACUGAUAAACAUACGACUAUAAUUGAACAAAUAGAAUUGUCCCAAAAAUAACAGUCAAUAUUUUAACGAAAAAAUGAGAUAAAAAGACACAACUUAAAAAAAAAUAACCGUCAAUAUUUUAACGGAAAAUUACGAUAAAAAGAUAAAACGAAAAAAAGUAAUUGUCAAUAUUUUAACGGAAAGUUACGAUAAAAAGAUACAACCGAAAAAAUAACUCUCAACAGAAAAAGUAACCAUCAAGAUUUUAACGAAGAGUUGCGAUAAAAAGACAGAACUGAGAAUAAAUAACCGUCAAUAUUUUAACGAAAAAUUGCGAUAAAAAGACAUAACCGAGAAAAAAUAACCAUUGAUAUUUUAACGGAAAGUUGCGAUAAAAAGACAUAAACGAAAAAAGUAACAGAAAAUUACAAUAAAAAGACACAACUAAAAAAUUAUUCGUCAACGAAAAAGUAACCGUCAAUAUUUUAACGAAGAGUGGCGAUAAGAAUACACAACCGAUAAAAAAUAACCGUCAAUAUUUUAACGAAGAGUUGCAAUAAAAAGACACAACCGAGAAAUAUAACCGUAAAUAUUUUAAUGAAACAUUGCGAUAAAAAAACAUAACGAGAGAAAAUAACCGUCAAUAUUUUAAAGAAAAAUUUCGAUAAAAAGAUACAAACGAAAAAAGUAAUCGCCAAUAUUUUAUCAGAAAUGUGUGAUAAAAAGAUAUAACCGAAAAAUAACCGUCAACAAAAAAAGUAACCAUCAAUAUUUUAGCGAAAGGUUGCGAUAAAAAGACGCAACCGUUCAGAUGUGCAAAAGGCAUUUAUUGAAAUUGUAUUAUAUAUAGAUUUUAGAAAAUUGUGGGGGACCAUUGUCAUAAUAUGAAUAAAAUCCACUGGUUAUUGAAAUCCAAGACCAAUGUUAUAAAUGCAAAAGGAUUACGAUAUCGUUUAUUAAACCCAAAAUCCACCAAGUUCGCCCAUGUGGUGGUGGGCGGGUGGUUGGUGGGCCAGGGGUGUUUGGGUGAAAGUCCCUCCCCUCUGGUUUCGACUCCUCCUCCUGCUGUUAUCAACAUUAUGUGGGAAGUCUGUCAGUUAGGCUUUGGCCCAAUUGGUUUACCUGGUAGUCAGAAAUGCAGGCGGCCUGACUACCCCUGGCACUUAGUCGGAAGGCACACCAAACUCGGGAUAGGCAGAGUGGUACCCCGAAGGGCCUAACCGUUAACACGGUGGACAACUCCACUAUGUAGCACCUCGGUGCGUUCCUACCGGAGCUGACCGGAUAGCCGUAUAUCAAAAAAAAAAAAAAAACCACCAAGUUCAAACUCCCAAUCUCCGAUGAUCUUUAUGUUGCGCACUACUCUAAUCAUACUCCUAACAUGCAUCAAAAAGAAGUCAUGAAAAACAAAUUACCUAGUGAGGAAAAUAAUACCUACCUACAUGCUGACACAAUAAUCACCGAAUUUAUCAAUCGAUAAAUUACAUCAAUCUUAUAGCUUCGUGCUCAUACACAUAGAACACAUAUAUUUUCACAACAUGCUCGACAUUCAUUAUCAUGCCCACAAUCCUUUUAUGUACUCUCGUUUAUGGCCAUACAGCCCUCGAGCAUCCAUCUCGAUCACUCUCGAUCAAAAUGACACUCAAAUCUAUUGUUUGACGACCCAUUCCAUUAUCUCGACCAACAGGUCCUAUAAAAAAUAUCAAGGCAGGAGGAUUGUCCUAUUUAUGAAGCUAAUAAGGUGAAGUCAUCAUAUCACCAAGUCUUUACACUUCUUCCAUAGUAGUCAAGGUAGCCACCGACAGCGCGAAAUCUCACCAGAUUGAUCUGUCAUCGACUAAGGCGAAGUACAUAGAAGUGUUACUGAAAAUUGAUGUAUUUCUGAAGUGAUGUCCAAUAGGGUGUUUUUAUCGGAUAUAUGAGUUUUGGUGUCUUGAAACCUCUUUUAUAUUCUUCAACUCUUUGUUUUUUUUAAGAACAAGUCUAGAUCUAAAUUUUGGUUGGAUGGAUAUCAGCAUGGAUUUCGUCUUAGGACUUCCCCUUACACAAUGGGGUCAUAAUUGAUUCAAUAUAUUUGGUAGGUCGUUUCUACAAGAUGGUGCACUUUGUCCCACACAAAAAGACAAUAAAUGUGGUUUAAAGGUUCUACGUUGUUCUUUCAUGAGAUCUAUAAACUCAAUGGAUUACUGUUGUCUAUUUGGUCGUGAUUCACGUUUCUUGAGUCAUUUCUAAAGGUUGUUGUGGUGCUAUCGUAGCUUCAGCUGUCAUAGCGUUUAUGGAAACGCUAUUAUAAUUUGGAGUCGUCUACGGUGAAGUAAUAGUUAGUCGUACAUCGGCAUGAUGUUCAAUUUCAGGUUGGAGAUUUACUUUUUUGUUCGGAUUUUGUUUCUUUGGGCUUUUUUUUAAGGUUUUUCAUUUUUAUUUCUUUCAUCUUAGGUUAUCGGUUAUGAUGAAGAAAGAUAAGCGUUUAUAUAUCUUCUUAGAUUAUUAAUUAGAAGUUCAUACAUUUCUGACUUUCCUUGAAAUCUACGGUACGAUGCCUCUACAAUAAUUUUUCGCAAAUAAAACUCCUCCUACAUAUAUGUUUUUGAUAAAUGAAAGCCUUGAUAGCAUUCAAGUUUGGUUCUCCAAUGGCCUUAUCUAUAUAAGACACCUCGCCUCGGAUUCUCUAGUAACUUAAAUUAUAUGCAAGACAACAUUGAUCAAAGAUGAAAGGCAAAAAGAUUCAAAUUCUAGGAAGUUCUUUAAUAGCCUUUAUGGCAUUGAUGUUAAUGGGUUGAAGAAAUAGAUAUUAAAUAGUGGAAUGUAACAUCCAAGAUUUUAUGUCGAAUAAAAAUACAAAUAGCUUAGAUAAGAUGAUGCCUUAGAUCCCUUGCAUAUGAAUUUCAGACAUUCAUUAUAAGAGCAUGAUUAUCGCAAGUCUCUUAGUGUGUUCUUAGCCUUUAUGGUAAAUUAAAAUAAAUGCAAAGUCAUCAUUAAAUCUAAGAAACGUCUGUUAAUUAAGAGACAAAAACUGAAGUUAAGAGGCGUCCACGUGGCAGAAGGUGACAACAAACGGGCUUUGAAAAUUGGUUUUCCUCUCAAAAUCGAAGAAUUUGUGGAACGAGACUAGAAAUUCGAAUUAAGCCAUUUCAAAUUGGUUCUCCUCGAUUCCUUCCUCUGUGAUUUGGAAACCGUAAUUCCCGUCGGCGGAAACUCUUGACUACGCCUUCUGUGUUGAAAUUGAGAGUAAAAUGUUGAGUAAAGUAUCCCCAAGUGGAGAUCCUCUUGAGCCGGUGGAGGAGAAUCGAGGAAGACGAAGAGGAGAAUGACGAUUCUGAUCCUUCCUCAGAUCGACGUCUUAACCAGCGCAAAGAACAAUGGUUCCUUCUACAUAUCUGUUUGCUCUGAAUAGUUCACUGUGAAAUGGAUUGAUAUCCGAAAAUCAGAUAAAAUUCAGCUAUUACAUUGCUCGGAUUUCAGUUCUAGCUGACUGUUUUGUUUCUAUCUUCUUUUAGGUUUACGGAUGACUGAUCGGAUUGUUAAUUUAAGGGUUUGAUGCAAUGUCCUUCAAUUUCAUUGUUGAUGUUGGAAUCAUCAUUGCCAAUAAAUUAGUAAUUUGGUUUCUUCAAUCUCAAAUUCUUUUUUCUUUUUUUACCAUGUGAUUGUAAUUGUAAGGCUGAAUUGUGCAGGUGAUGGGAAGAGUUGGAUUCAAUUUUCCAAUCUUUCUAACAUUGAUUCACUCUACCGUUGCUUGGAUUCUUUUAGCUUUCUCCUCUCUCUUCUCUCUUGGAGCUGUCAUGGCCUUUGCUUCGGGGCUUGCUAAUACAAGUCUCAAACACAACAGAACCUUUGAGUUAGUAUUACCUUUGGCUUCUGCAGAUUGAAUCAAAGGAUCUAUCAAAACCUCUGCGUUCACAUGUGGAGAUCCUAAAGUUGAGCUGGUUUUUGUUGUUUGAAUGCAUAGGGAAAUUUGUGUGCAGGCUGCAAGAGUUUUGACAAGUUUGAUUGUGAUGGGCUCUGGAAUCAUAGCCAGGGCUUGUACUCAAGCACAAGUUUUGAUUCUCCUUAUUUUUAUGUGUAUGUUAGUUACUUAGAUGAUGAAUGAUGAAUGAAUGAUGAUUUGUUUCAGGGAAGAAGAUGAUUCUGAAGAAAUGGGAGCAUUGUUGAAUUCAUAAGGAUGAUAGUAGGAAACCCAUCUAUACAAGACAAAGGAUUAAAAGUAAAACAGAGAGAAGAUGGGAAGAGAAACAGAGGAUAGAAACAUAGCAAUGUGACAGAAAACAGAGAAACAUUUGAAGAGAAAAUAAAAGCAAAUGAGAUGGUCAAACAUAAAAACAAACGUCUGCACUACUCAAUACUCAUCUCUGAUUUGGUCUGCCUUCACUCCCAAAUAUGUACAGUAUAUCCAAAAUAACGUAUGUUAUUUAUUUUAUUUUUUUCGACUGAAUAACUUUCAUUAGCAUAAGAACUGUUAUCAAAUUACAUCAAGGCCAAAAAAUUAAAGGAUCGAAGACAAUCACCAACAGAGAAAACAAAAAACGCAU